rnacentral:rRNA from 1 species
UCCUGGCUCAGGAUGAACGCUGGCGGCGUGCCUAAUACAUGCAAGUCGAGCGAGGUUCUUCGGAACCUAGCGGCGGACGGGUGAGUAACACGUGGGUAACCUGCCUGUAAGACCGGGAUAACUUCGGGAAACCGAAGCUAAUACCGGAUACUUUCGAGCAUCGCAUGAUGCUUGAUGGAAAGACGGCUUCGGCUGUCACUUACAGAUGGACCCGCGUCGCAUUAGCUAGUUGGUGAGGUAACGGCUCACCAAGGCGACCAUGCGUAGCCGACCUGAGAGGGUGAUCGGCCACACUGGAACUGAGACACGGCCCAGACUCCUACGGGAGGCAGCAGUAGGGAAUCUUCGGCAAUGGGCGAAAGCCUGACCGAGCAACGCCGCGUGAGCGAUGAAGGCCUUCGGGUCGUAAAGCUCUGUUGUUAAGGAAGAACAAGUACGAGAGUAACUGCUCGUACCUUGACGGUACUUAACGAGAAAGCCACGGCUAACUACGUGCCAGCAGCCGCGGUAAUACGUAGGUGGCGAGCGUUAUCCGGAAUUAUUGGGCGUAAAGCGCGCGCAGGCGGUUUCUUAAGUCUGAUGUGAUAGCCCACGGCUCAACCGUGGAGGGUCAUUGGAAACUGGGAAACUUGAGUGCAGAAGAGGAAAGCGGAAUUCCACGUGUAGCGGUGAAAUGCGUAGAGAUGUGGAGGAACACCAGUGGCGAAGGCGGCUUUCUGGUCUGUAACUGACGCUGAGGCGCGAAAGCGUGGGGAGCAAACAGGAUUAGAUACCCUGGUAGUCCACGCCGUAAACGAUGAGUGCUAAGUGUUAGAGGGUUUCCCGCCCUUUAGUGCUGAAGUUAACGCAUUAAGCACUCCGCCUGGGGAGUACGGUCGCAAGACUGAAACUCAAAGGAAUUGACGGGGGC